rfam:Schistosoma mattheei strain Denwood, Zambia genome assembly, scaffold: SMTD_scaffold0000163
AUCCAGAUGACGAGUCUAAAAUAGGACGAAACGCUUGUGUUGGAU